rfam:Ovis aries breed Texel chromosome 7, whole genome shotgun sequence.
UCCGUGGUGGUCCAGUGGUGAAGACUCCGUGCUUCCAAUGCAGAGGGCCUGGGUUCGAUCCCUGGUCAGGGAA